AUCUGAUGCCCCUCUUCUUCUUCAUUUUUUUUUUUUUUUGAUAAUUAGGAUUUGUUGUGGACGACGACGGCUAAAGAUUCUUGGCGACGAAACAUCAACUGUUUGGCGAUGAAAGCUUCAAUCGUUUUCUGAAACUCCUCGUUGCUAAGGUUAUCCUCUGCAUAAUUAUUCAUAUUAUCAUCAUCAUUAUUGUUGUUGUUAUUAAUAUCAUCAGUCCUAAUGCACUUUUCAGUCUCCGAUCUCUGGAGAGAAGAAGGUUUAGGGAUGACCACAUGAUUUAAACACACAUCGGACUUGCUUCUUCCAUACUCCUUAGGCUCAUCAGAAACGGGACACGUGUCCGAAUCUAUUUCCAAGCCGUGAGGAAUAUUAUUAUUUGAUGAGUCAGCGACGACGACCACCUCUUUGUCGUCGUAAACGAUCUCCUCCGCCAACUCUUCUUCUUCUUCACCGGACGGCUUGGAUCUCACCAACGCCUCGUAGAUUUCUGUUUCUGCGUUUGAGGCGGCGGUUCCUCUGUUCUCCUCCACAGAGGACUUGGCGAGGAGAGCAACGACGAUGCAGUUCCCGAAGAGGAAGACGAAGAGUGGAGUCGAUAUGACGCCGGCGAUGCGGCGGAGGAACUCUCUGGAGAUUUGGACGGCGAAAGGAAGGCGCGUAAAGGUCCUGAGGAUGAAGAUGACGGCGACGCAGACCUCAGCGGCGCGGAAGAAACGUCCGAUACUGCGGAAGCGGUUGUAUCGCCGCAGCGCCUUGGCUUUCUCUGCUUUCACGUUAUGGAAAGUGAACGAAUCCAUUUUGAGAGAGGAAGAAAGAAAGUUACUCACACACACGCACGAACAGUGUAAAAGAAAGAAAGAGAGAUAAAGAUGGAAGAGAGGUGGAGAAAAGUGGAGCGUGCCUCUUCCCACAUAUCUCUCUUUUAUAGACUCAUGCUCAUCUUCAUUCCUUAGUCCUUACCAUACUCUCUCCCCAUUUUUAAAAAAAAAAUUCUUCAAAUAAUUGUCACUUUCCCUCCUUUUUUUAUAAAUAUAUAUAUAAUAUAUAUAAGAAAUCCAGCGCGAUAAGAUGACGCGGGUUGGUGUCGAUCGUCUCAACCCGCGUCACGAAGAGGCGGGACGGAGCCACGCGGGAUGGAGCCAUGCGGGAUCGACUACCCGCGCGCAUGACGAGAGAGUAGCCUCGACAGUCUGACGCGGGAUGAAGGCCGCGGGUUCCACUACCCGCGCGCAUGAAGCAGAAGAUCAGCGAGCAUCCGACGCGGGUUGUGUGACGCGGGGUAUGCCCAGUCGCUCCAACCCGAGUCGAUACUUUACCUUAGUCGAAUUUUAAUAUUUUCAAGGGCUUUUUAGACUUUUUAAUGGAAACCAUUAGGUUUACCAAAGACAUAUAAAUACCCCUUUGUAAUCCCAAGAGGGGAUCUUAUCUUGUUUUCUAUCACAAUAAGAAAUAACUUUUAGGUGAAGAUCUUACCUUGAUCAUUUCUUCUUGUGAUUUGCUUGAUUAACCUGGUCAUUAAUUAUGAUUAGCACCAAAUCAUCAUUGAUUCUUGGGCUCAUCAUGAAGAGUAUUGAGUAGUCAUCUUUAGAUUCAUGGGCUAGGGUGAUUAAGGGUGAUUGGAGAUGAUCUAGGGUGUUUAAAGUUAGAUCUACUUGUUUCCUUGCUUGUUGAGGGUUCCAAAUGCUAUUUUAGUCUUGAUCAUACUAAAAUAGAUCUCUAGGCAUUUCAUGCCCACAAUGUGUAUGAUGAAAUGCCUGAACCAACUCUUCAAUGCUUUUAGCUUUUUUUACCUAAGAGAUUAGUUGCUAAAGGAGUUAAGAUUGCUAUUGGAUUUGUUCUCCAUGUUUGCUUUAGUGACAUUCAACCUAAGAAAUUAGAUGCUUGAGUUGUUUUACCAAAAGAACAUUCAUCUAGAGAUAGAGCUUGUUUAGCUUAGUGUCUAGGCAUAAGGAAAAUGUUUGAUUGAUUAUCUUACCACCCUUAGAUUGAAUCUACAUCACCUGAGAUCAAAUGCCUAGCCCCAUGAGUCCUUUUACUUCAAAUUGAGAAAGAAAGAUCAUUACUUUAUUGCAUUAGCUUAUAGUUUUUAGUUCAUACAAUCUUUAAAACCGGAUCGCAUUUAGCUUAAUCAUAAACUUGCAUUCCCUUUGCUUUAGAAUCACCUAGGAUUGGUUCGAAAAUCUUUUAUACUACAUUAAUUUGAUCUUAGACCCUUGAAAAGUCUUGCAUCACCUAGCCAUCUCCAGAUCUUCAUCAACCAUCAUCUUCACCGGCUGCUCGAACCCUACUUUAGGCUUCCACUUCAACAAUUCCUUUGCCUUGCUCGCAUCUCCUUUCAGAUUGUCAACCUCUCUGUUGGCCUGAAGUACCUCUUGUCGAUUUCCACGUGGUCUUUCCAGUUGAGCCCCACGUACCCGAAGGACACCUCCAGAAACUCCUCGACGGUGUGUGACUCCUCAGUUGCCACCACGUAGUCAUUUGGUUUCUCCUGCUGCAGCAUCAGCCACAUUGCCUCCACGUACUCCCCCGAGAACCCCCAGUCCCUUGACGCCUGUAUGUUUCCCAGGAAGAGCUUAGCCUGCAGCCCGACCUUGAUCCUCCCCAAGGCACGAGUUAUUUUCCGAGUCACGAAGUUCUCGCCUCUGCGGGGUGGCUCGUGGUUGAACAAGAUUCCGUUGCAGGGAUCUCGAAGGAGACGGCUACGUGGGACUGAGCAGCAAGGUUGUAGCCCUCGUCUGGCUUGAUAACGUCGAGCCAACGGCGGAGGGAGGAGGCAUCAGCGUAGUCAGUGGAGCUUCAUGAGAGCUUUGCUGGCAUUGUGGGGAUCCACGUAGAUAUGGUUGAUUCUCUGCGUGUUGUAGUUUGAGGAUUGUCGAAUCAGGCCGUGGACUUCGUAGCCUUUUCCGAGCAGGAACUCGGUCAGGUAUGAUCCUUCCUGCCCGGUGAUCCCGGUGACUAGUGCAAUCUUGCCUUGGCUGCGACGCAUUGUGAGAAUCGCCGUUAGGAGUUGCCACAGUUUCGGAGGCCAUUGAUCAGAAGAAAUGUGAGAGAGAAGUGAGGUAGGUGCACGACCCGCUGUGUGUUUGAUUUUUUAAAGCUCCUACCUACGUGUUUGGUUAUACCUUAUAUAGUCCAUAGAAGACGAAUAGAGGUGAGAAGGUUGAUUUAGUAACUUAAUACAAAUAAUUUAAUGAUAUAUUGGGCGCCUUGCGUGUACUAAGACCAUUUGCAACAAUGAUCCUUAGUACAAAUUUUUAAGAAAAAAAUUAUUAUAAAAUUAUGUGGGCUCCACUUGUGUGUACUAAGACCAUCUGCAACCGAAAUUAUUGGGGUCGAAAUUGACACUUUUCCCUAGCUGAAUAUACUGUGAUCUCUUACACACAGGAUGGACUUUAGCAAUUGCCUGCUGCUUAUACACAUAGUUUCAAAUUUCAGAAUUCAAAGUGUAAGUAAAUAGAUAGGUUAACAGAGGAAACAUAACAUUAAAAAGAAAUUACUAGUAAAUAAGAAUGGUGAGUAUAUUAGUGUAUUUUAACAAAAGAAAAAACAACAACUAAAUGACUGUAAUUUAAAACAGGAGCAUUUCCAACGUAAAAUUGAUAUUGUAUCUCAAAAUUUAUACUGCAAUGUCAUUGUGUUAGGAAAGUAAUAUUUGAUGGUAGGGUUGCUUAAUGAGAAAUCCAAUAACACCAAUAGCACCAGCCGCUCGCGGUGGAAAUAUCAUGAUUGCUCCUAAUUAAAAAUAGUCUUCCUAUAAAUUACAAUUAAUGCAACAAUCAAUAACGCAACAAAAAAUCAAAUUAAACAAUAUUUAAAAUUCAUAUCAUGCAAAAGAUUGAUCGGCUUGAUAUCAGAGAAUCUUAAAUCUGUCAAAAGAAGGGUGAAAGAACCGACUUUUAUUUUAGUAGGGCCGAGAUUACGGGACUUAGUGAAAAAUAAAGUCACUUUUCUUCUUAAUUUUCCUGCGUGGGUGUCUGCAUAAAAGUGAAAAUGAUUUAACUUUUCGCAUUCAAAAUCAUUACAGUAUGAUUUGGUGCCAAUGCCCAUCAGAAAAACACGGCCGCUUCAGCAAAUUAAUACUACUAUUCUAUUGAAUUUUAUAUUUUUUUAAUCGUAUAAUCGAAGACUAUGAGAUCACUGAGAUGACUUACUAGACCAUCAAUCAUUCCCCUGAGGCAUUAAGAAUGAAGCUUCCUUCGAUUUAAGACAAUAGUAAAGAUAUACAAUAAUUAAGCAUGUACCCUCUUUUCGAUUGCUGCCCAUCUCACUAUAUAUUUUCCAUUUACUAUUGCCAUCUUUAAUUUCUUUAGACAACAUCUAGUUUCUUCGUUACUAUAACCACACCACGUUUGCCAAUUAUGCGCCCAAGUCUAUGCUUGUUUUUUAUAUAAAAAAGUGAGAAAGGAUUCUCAUAUGAUGAUUUAUGAGAAACCCAUGAACUAUUAAAACAUGCUUUUUAAAUCUAAUUUAGUUUAUUUUUAUCAGUAAAAUCUAGUUAUAUAACUUAAGUAUCUUAAGACAUUGUAUUUUGGAAAUCCUAUCAAUAAAAAUGCUCUAGCAGAUAUUUCUUGCAGGGUUAAUUAUUUCAGGCAUGAGACUUUACUCGGUGUAAAAGUACAAAACGCCAUCAUGAACGAAGUACUAUUGUGUAAGAAGAAAAACAAGUGUAAGAACUAAUACAACUAUUAAAUAGGCAACACAAAUAUCAUUGGUCAAGUGAUUGGCUCAUGUCUGAAAUAAAGAUGUCGAAGGCUAUGCCGAUUAUAGGACUUGGAAACUCCCUAUAAAUAUAUUACAUGUUGAGUGACAUAUAGGUUUAAUAGUAUAUUUAUAAUGUGUAGAUAGCUAUUUGUUUCUUAACGCAGUUGCUGGUUAUUUCUGAAGUAGCCCCGACGUUGGUUUCAUGCGAAGACAAAAAUACAGACCUAAAUCGAUUGUUUCGUGGAUAACACUAGUUAUUUUUUUAAUUAAAAUGGGGUUUUGGUAAAGCCAUAAUUUACAUAGUUACGAAACAACAUUUCUACUUCAACUUUGUAUGAUUAAGUGACAAGUCACUAAAACAAACAACAAGUAAAUAAAAGAUAUAUUAUUAUAUCUUACUUGAUAAGCAACUAAUUACUACUGUACAUAGAGAGAGCACUGAUGAGAUUUUUUUACACACUAGCCAGGAAUAUUGAAAUAAGAUUCCAUAUAUGGUUAACAAAACUUUGUUUGUUACGUAGUGUUGAUUCGGCUGCUACAUAAUAGAAUCUGAUGCCCCUCUUCUUCUUCAUUUUUUUUUUUUUUUGAUAAUUAGGAUUUGUUGUGGACGACGACGGCUAAAGAUUCUUGGCGACGAAACAUCAACUGUUUGGCGAUGAAAGCUUCAAUCGUUUUCUGAAACUCCUCGUUGCUAAGGUUAUCCUCUGCAUAAUUAUUCAUAUUAUCAUCAUCAUUAUUGUUGUUGUUAUUAAUAUCAUCAGUCCUAAUGCACUUUUCAGUCUCCGAUCUCUGGAGAGAAGAAGGUUUAGGGAUGACCACAUGAUUUAAACACACAUCGGACUUGCUUCUUCCAUACUCCUUAGGCUCAUCAGAAACGGGACACGUGUCCGAAUCUAUUUCCAAGCCGUGAGGAAUAUUAUUUGAUGAAUCAGCGACCACCACCACCUCUUUG
rnacentral:lncRNA from 1 species